rnacentral:sRNA from 1 species
UUCGUUUAAUUAUAAAAUCUAAACCCUAAUCGUACUUUCUAAACCCAAACCGAUAUUUAACCUCGUUUAAUCAUAAAAUUUUAACCCUAACCUUUUCUAAUAAACACAAACCGAUACAUAUUUUCGUUUUAAUGGCAAAUUAUUAGGUUUUAU